GCCUCACAGACCGGAANAACGCCUGGAAACGGGUGCUAAUGCCGGAUAGAGCAAUGGAAGGCAUCUCCUGUUGGGAAAGUUGCUACGGCAACACUGAGAGAGGAACCCGCGGCGCAUUAGCUAGUUGGUGAGGUAGAGGCUCACCAAGGCGACGAUGCGUAGCCGACCUGAGGGGGUGACCGGCCACACUGGGACUGAGACACGGCCCAGACUCCUACGGGAGGCAGCAGUAGGGAAUCUUCGGCAAUGGGCGAAAGCCUGACCGAGCAACGCCGCGUGAGCGAAGAAGGCCUUCGGGUUGUAAAGCUCAGUCACUCGGGAAGAGCGGAUGCGGGAGGGAAUGCCCGUAUCGAGACGGUACCGAGAGAGGAAGCCCCGGCUAACUACGUG
rnacentral:rRNA from 1 species